GUCAGCUCGUGUCGUGAGAUGUUGGGUUAAGUCCCGCAACGAGCGCAACCCUUGAUCUUAGUUGCCAGCAUUCAGUUGGGCACUCUAAGAUGACUGCCGGUGACAAACCGGAGGAAGGUGGGGAUGACGUCAAAUCAUCAUGCCCCUUAUGACCUGGGCUACACACGUGCUACAAUGGACGGUACAAAGGGCUGCAAGACCGCGAGGUUUAGCCAAUCCCAUAAAACCGUUCUCAGUUCGGAUUGUAGGCUGCAACUCGCCUACAUGAAGCUGGAAUCGCUAGUAAUCGCGGAUCAGCAUGCCGCGGU
rnacentral:rRNA from 2 species